rnacentral:rRNA from 1 species
AACGCGAAGAACCUUACCUGGGCUCGAAAUGUAGAGGAAGAUUUAAGAGAUUAAAUUGUCCGCAAGGACUUCUAUAUAGGUGCUGCAUGGCUGUCGUCAGCUCGUGCCGUGAGGUGUUUGGUUAAGUCCAGCAACGAGCGCAACCCUUAUCGUUAUUUACCAGCACGUAAUGGUGGGAACUAUAGCGAGACUGCCGAGGUUAACUCGGAGGAAGGUGAGGAUGACGUCAAGUCCGCAUGGCCUUUAUGUCCAGGGCUACACACGUGCUACAAUGGUCGAUACAGAGGGCAGCAAAACCGCGAGGUCAAGCUAAUCCCAUAAAAUCGAUCCCAGUUCAGAUUGCAGUCUGCAACUCGACUGCAUGAAGUUGGAAUUGCUAGUAAUGGCGCGUCAGCAACAGCGCCGUGAAUACGUUCCCGGGCCUUGUACACACCGGCUAC